GAUGAAGAACGUAGCGAAAUGCGAUAAGUAAUGUGAAUUGCAGAAUUCAGUGAAUCAUCGAAUCUUUGAACGCACCUUGCGCCCUUUGGCUAUUCCGAAGGGCAUGCCUGUUUGAGCGUCAUUUCAACACCUCGCUUUAUGCGGUAUUGAGUUGAGUCUAUAAUAGUUCUGAACUAUGAAUGGACCCAACUUUAAAGUUGAAUGCUGCAGACGAAUAGCUUGAUUAGCAUAGUAUAAUCUUUUGAUUUUCCUGUUGCUCAUGAAAUUCGUCUUGCCUAAACUAUUUUCUAAAGUUUGACCUCAGAUCAGAUAAGGAUACCCGCUGAACUUAAGCAUAUCAAUAAGCGGAGGA
rnacentral:misc_RNA from 1 species